UACGAAGGGGGCUAGCGUUGCUCGGAAUCACUGGGCGUAAAGCGCACGUAGGCGGACUCUUAAGUCGGUGGUGAAAUCCUGGAGCUCAACUCCAGAACUGCCUUCGAUACUGAGAGUCUCGAGUCCGAGAGAGGUGAGUGGAACUGCGAGUGUAGAGGUGAAAUUCGUAGAUAUUCGCAAGAACACCAGUGGCGAAGGCGGCUCACUGGCUCGGUACUGACGCUGAGGAGCGAAAGUGUGGGGAGCGAACAGG
rnacentral:rRNA from 1 species